rnacentral:rRNA from 1 species
CAGUAGCCACGGGAAUACAGAAGGUGCGAGCGUUAAUCGGAUUUACUGGGCGUAAAGCGUGCGUAGGCGGCUUUUUAAGUCGGAUGUGAAAUCCCUGAGCUUAACUUAGGAAUUGCAUUCGAUACUGGGAAGCUAGAGUAUGGGAGAGGAUGGUAGAAUUCCAGGUGUAGCGGUGAAAUGCGUAGAGAUCUGGAGGAAUACCGAUGGCGAAGGCAGCCAUCUGGCCUAAUACUGACGCUGAGGUACGAAAGCAUGGGGAGCAAACAGGAUUAGAUACCCCGGUAGUCCCUGUCUCUUAUAC